GCUGGCUGCUGCAGCCUGUGGGCCGUCUGUCCUCCCGACAGAGAGGCGGGUUCACCUGGGCCCGGGUUGCGGGUCGUCCGAGCCCCUGCUUUGAGCCCACGAGGCAGUUUCUCCCAGCGGGAGCCUGCGUCUUGCCUGCCCCUGGCCCAGUUCCCAAACUCCAGUGGUUUCUCCCGGCUCUGCCUUCCCACUCUUUCAACCCCCGUUGCUUCUGCUUCCUUGCAUUCGACUGUGUCGCCGCCAUAAAAUAGACCAGGGCGGCUGGAUCCCUGCGGCUCAGAACAUGAGAUUUCCUCCCCGGCGGCGGGAGGCCUGACGUCUGAUUAGGAACGGAGCACAGGGCGUCAGCGCACCUGCAGCCUCGAGACUGGGGACAGGAUGACCCCCCCAGACCCCAAGGUGCCUUCGCUCACAGCUGGACCUCCCCCACUGUUCCCGGAAGCUCGCCCAGAGCAUCUUUGGGCCACGGGAACCUGACCGGCCAGUGAAACCUCCCCGAGGUUCCAAGCUUGAACUCGCGACACGGCCCUCCGGACUGUCUCGGCCAGCCCGGCUGCCCAGUGCAGGAUGUGAUCUUCUGUCCUUCGGAGCCUCCCCGCCUGGCCUCUGCUGCCAUCCGUGGUGAAAUUGUUCCCGUUCUGCUGACCUGACCCGCGUCCUGCAAACCAUGGCCAGCUCCCGGGCGUCCGUCUGUCCAUCAGGAGGAACGCAGCACCCGCCUGUCUCCUCUGCGGUGUUCUCUGUCAAGGUCAUUUAUUGCCCAUAUCCCGGCAGUUCAUUAGGGAAUGACAGAACGUGGUGACAGAUUCCUGUCAUCCCGUCUGCACUUCUUGGCCGGAACGCUCCCCCCGCCCCGCCCAAAGAAGCAUCUACUCGUCAACUGUUGGGCCCUGGGACGUGCAGUUUGAGCGGAGGGACAGUCAGGGGACACGCUCGAGUCUGUGCCUUUAUUUACUAGUUUUCAAAAUAAUGACCUGGUUUUCCCGCUUCCUCCAGUGACUGCCAGAGAGCUUCCCCAGCCGUUGUGAACUCAGGAAUUUGGAUGCAUUUGAUAUGUUUCCAUUGGCCGCAGGUAUAAUCUGUAUUAACACUUAAAUUGCCCUGUCUUUGGCUUGUGGGAACCUCUUCAACCAGCUCGCCAAGUCUUUCCGCGUGACGGGGAAUCUCUGGCCUCUUCCUUGCCGUCCAGUCUACAGUUGUCCAGCCUCCCUGCCCGGCCCUGGCAGCGGCCUGCCCUCUGAGGGGCCCUGUGUCCUUGGGAUGGGAAAUGGCACUGGCGCUGGGGGGUGGAAAGCUCUCUGCACUUGGACUGGCCUUUGUCUCGGGGGCUUUCGUUAGACAGGCUGGGAAGUUCUCUUUUUAAAGAUACAAACAAGUUGUCAAAUGUGGGCUUACACGGCUUUAUUUAAUUUCCUGACUUUGCAUAUGUGUCUCCUUUUUCUCACACUGACAACUUGGUUCCUAAGCACAAAAUAAUUAUGUGUUUAUUUUGUCUUUAUAUAAAUGUGGCUUUAGAAUAACACUGCCAAUAUUAUUAGUAACAGUGUGAUCGCCGAGAGUCAUUAGAGACCUCUCUUUCUGCGAUCUGUUCCGUCCUUAGGGUACAGCCCUCGGGAGAGUACAAUAAAGUCACUGUUUGAAA